AUACGUAGGUGGCAAGCGUUGUCCGGAAUUAUUGGGCGUAAAGCGCAUGUAGGCGGUAAUUUAAGUCUGUCGUGAAACUGCGGGGCCCAGCCCCGUAUGGCGAUGGAAACUGGGUUACUUGAGUGCAGGAGAGGAAAGGGGAACUCCCAGUGUAGCGGUGAAAUGCGUAGAUAUUGGGAAGAACACCGGUGGCGAAGGCGCCUUUCUGAACUUUGUCUGACGCUGAGAUGCGAAAGCCAGGGUAGCGAACGGGAUUAGAUACCCCGGUAGUCCUGGCUGUAAACGAUGGGUACUAGGUGUGGGAGGUAUCGACCCCUUCCGUGCCGGAGUUAACGCAAUAAGUACCCCGCCUGGGGAGUACGGCCGCAAGGCUUAAACUCAAAUGAAUUGACGGGG
rnacentral:rRNA from 1 species